AAUUUAAUUCAACAUUUUUAGAUGCGAAUGCCCCGCAAAUUGGCAUGGAAUUCAUUGUUCAGAACAACACGAUGACUGUAAAACUGCAUCACACGAAGCACUUUGUGGGCAUGGAACAUGCAUUGAUUUAGAUCGAGUAUUUGCUGGACAACCCAAAUAUAAAUGUUUAUGCGAUGAAGGUUGGAAAAGUGAUGGAGUCAAUCCAGCAUGCAAUACAGAUAUAGACGAAUGCCACGAAAGUCAUGUUUCGUGUUCAACAAAUCCUCCAGUACAGUGUAUUAACUCUCUAGGAAGCUUUCAUUGUGGACCUUGCCCACCAGGAUACUCAGGAAAUGGAUAUUCCUGUACUGAUAUUAAUGAGUGUCUA